GACAGAGGGUGCAAACGUUGCUCGGAAUCAUUGGGCGUAAAGCGCACGUAGGCGGUCUGUUAUGUCGGAUGUGAAAGCCCUUGGCUCAACUGAGGAAGUGCAUCCGAAACUGGCAGGCUAGAGUACUAAAGAGGAUCGCGGAAUUCCCGGUGUAGAGGUGAAAUUCGUAGAUAUCGGGAGGAACACCAGUGGCGAAGGCGGCGACCUGGACGGACAUUGACGCUGAGACGCGAAAGCGUGGGGAGCAAACAGG
rnacentral:rRNA from 1 species